rnacentral:rRNA from 1 species
AUUGAACGCUGGCGGCAGGCCUAACACAUGUAAGUCGAGCGAGCGGCGGACGGGUGAGUAAUGUCUGGGAAACUGCCUGAUGGAGGGGGAUAACUUCUGGAAACGGUAGCUAAUACCGCAUACCAUCAGAUGUGCCCAGAUGGGCUUAGCUAGUAGGUGGGGUAACGGCUCACCUAGGCGACGAUCCCUAGCUGGUCUGAGAGGAUGACCAGCCACAAUGGAACUGAGACAAGGUCGAGAAUCAGACGGGAGGAAGCAGUGGGGAAUAGUGCACAAGGGGCGCAAGCCUGAUGCAGCCAUGCCGAGUGUGUGAAGAAGGCCUUCGGGUUGUAAAGCUCUUUCAGCGGGGAGGCGGUACCCGCAGAAGAAGCACCGGCUAACUCCGUGCCAGCAGCCGCGGUAAUUC